CGGGUUGUGGCGUAGCCUGGUAGCGCGCCUGCAUGGGGUGCAGGAGGUCAUGAGUUCGAAUCUCAUCAGCCCGACCA
rnacentral:tRNA from 1 species